UUUACUUUAGAAGUCAACUUUCUAGCUUGUUCAUCAAUAAGUUAACUUGACCAAAGACAUAAAGUAACUUUACUACUAUGUCUAGCUAAGGUUAAAGUACUUAUCAUAACCCAAUUUCCAACAGACUUACACAAGGUAAGUUCAAAGCCGCGCCGUGCCUAAUGGCCCCGUGGUAGUAUACACUCCCCACGGCAUUCCACUUCGGCGCUCACUUCGUACAUAAGCGAGCAUCUUUCGCUAAGCUAC
rnacentral:lncRNA from 1 species